AGCGAACGCUGGCGGCGUGCCUAACACAUGCAAGUCGAGCGAGAAAGGGGUGGCAACACCCUGAGUAAAGCGGCGAACGGGUGAGUAACGCGUGGGCAAUCUACCUUCCAGUCUGGGAUAACCUUCCGAAAGGAGGGCUAAUACCGGAUGAUGUCCUGUUGGGGCAUCCUGAGGGGAGCAAAGGGGGCGACCGCAAGGGCGUCUCGCUGGAGGAGGAGCCUGCGUCCGAUUAGCUAGUUGGUGGGGUAACGGCUCACCAAGGCGACGAUCGGUAGCCGGCCUGAGAGGGUGACCGGCCACACUGGGAC
rnacentral:rRNA from 1 species